rnacentral:rRNA from 1 species
GUCCACGCCCUAAACUAUGAUCACUCGAUGUUGGCGAUACACUGUCAGCGUCUAAGGGAAACCAUUAAGUGAUCCACCUGGGGAGUACGGUCGCAAGACUGAAACUCAAAGGAAUUGACGGGGGCCCGCACAAGCGGAGGAGCAUGUGGUUUAAUUCGAUGAUACGCGAGGAACCUUACCUGGGCUUGAAAGUUAGUGAAUUCCCUUGAAAGGGGGAAGGCCGAAGGACACGAAACUAGGUGCUGCAUGGCUGUCGU